CGUCUAUAUACGUAUAGCAUAUCAAUAAGCGGAGGAAAAGAAACUAACUAGGAUUCCCUCAGUAACGGCGAGUGAAGCGGGAAGAGCUCAAAUUUGAAAUCUUCAAGGUUUUACCUUGACGAAUUGUAGUUUAAAGAAGUGUUUUCUGUUGGAGUUUUGGUAAAAGUUCUUUGGAAUAGGACAUCAUAGAGGGUGAGAAUCCCGUAUUUGACCAUUAUUUCCAACUUUGUGAUACACUUUCAAAGAGUCGGAUUGUUUGGGAAUGCAGUCCAAAAUGGGUGGUAAAUUUCAUCUAAAGCUAAAUACUGGCGAGAGACCGAUAGCGAACAAGUACCGUGAGGGAAAGAUGAAAAGAACUUUGAAAAGAGAGUUAAACAGUACGUGAAAUUGUCAAAAGGGAAGCGUUUGACACCAGUGUUGUUUUCUCGAAAAUCAAUUAAAAAUGGUGGGAUUUUGUGUUGUAUUGACUUUAUCAGCUUUCUGCACUUUUUUCCUGUCUUUUUUAAUGCACUUUUCGUUUAACAAGUCAACAUCAAUUUCUUUUGUUGUAAAAGAGGUCAUUGGAAGGUGGCUUUCUUUUCGGAGAAAGUGUUUAUAGCCUUUGACUUCUGCAAUCGGAGAGAUUGAGGUCUGCAGCGUAGAUCCUUCGGGGUUAGAUACAUUUGUGCUAAGUUAUAGCCUUUCAUAGACAACUUGUUGACUAUGAUCAGUCAUGUAGCUUACUCGCUUAUGUUAUUUUACCUACGCUUAGGAUGUUGACGAUCAGCUGAGCGCG
rnacentral:rRNA from 1 species